UUACAAUGAUGUCUUCAAAUGUCUGACCUGAAAAUCUCUGUGUAGACAAGCGUGUCACUGAAAGA